rnacentral:rRNA from 1 species
UACAGAGGUCUCAAGCGUUGUUCGGAUUCAUUGGGCGUAAAGGGUGUGUAGGUGGCGCGCUAAGUCGGGUGUGAAAUUUCGGAGCUUAACUCCGAAACUGCAUUCGAUACGUGGCUGUGCGUUGAGGACUGGAGAGGAGACUGGAAAUUCGAUGGUGUAGCAGUGAAAUGCGUAGAGAUCAUGAGGAAGACCAGUGGCGAAGGCGGGUCUCUGGACAGUUCCUGACACUGAGACAC